CGUUAGGGACAUUCACCUUUGAGCCUUGCAUUUUCAGUCUGCUCAAUGCAGGCAACACCAGUCUGUUGCUGAGACCUUUCACGUUGAAGAUCAGCAGCCGCAUCACAGCUUGUUUUGCGGUCCACAGAUCAAACACUGGUGGCCUAUGUGAUUGGCACUUUGCGUGUCUGUAGGUUAAAAUAUGACCGGCGUCACCUAAAAAUAGGUGAUGAAUUAUGCGUUCCGUAGGUGAACCUGCGG
rnacentral:rRNA from 1 species